rnacentral:rRNA from 1 species
UACGUAGGGUGCGAGCGUUAAUCGGAAUUACUGGGCGUAAAGCGUGCGCAGGCGGUUUUGUAAGCCAGAUGUGAAAUCCCCGGGCUCAACCUGGGAAUGGCAUUUGGGACUGCAAGGCUUGAGUGCGGCAGAGGAGACUGGAAUUCCUGGUGUAGCAGUGAAAUGCGUAGAUAUCAGGAGGAAUACCGAUGGCGAAGGCAGGUCUCUGGACAGUUCCUGACGCUGAGGCACGAAGGUCAGGGGAGCAAACGGG